rnacentral:piRNA from 1 species
UAACAGACAAAAAACCGCCCC